AGUGAACGCUGGCGGUAGGCCUAACACAUGCAAGUCGAACGGCAGCACAGUAAGAGCUUGCUCUUACGGGUGGCGAGUGGCGGACGGGUGAGGAAUACAUCGGAAUCUACUUUUUCGUGGGGGAUAACGUAGGGAAACUUACGCUAAUACCGCAUACGACCUACGGGUGAAAGCAGGGGAUCUUCGGACCUUGCGCGAUUGAAUGAGCCGAUGUCGGAGUAGCUAGUUGGCGGGGUGAAGGCCCACCAAGGCGACGAUCCGUCGCUGGUCUGAGAGGAUGAGCAGCCACACUGGAACUGAGACACGGUCCAGACUCCUACGGGAGGCAGAAGUGGGGAAUAUUGGACAAUGGGCGCAAGCCUGAUCCAGCCAUACCGCGUGGGUGAAGAAGGCCUUCGGGUUGUAAAGCCCUUUUGUUGGGAAAGAAAAGCAGCAGGUUAAUACCCCGCUGUUCUGACGGUACCCAAAGAAUAAGCACCGGCUAACUUCGUG
rnacentral:rRNA from 1 species